AUUGAACGCUGGCGGCAUGCCUUACACAUGCAAGUCGAACGGCAGCGGGGACUUCGGUCCGCCGGCGAGUGGCGAACGGGUGAGUAAUGUAUCGGAACGUACCAUUCAGUGGGGGAUAACUAUCCGAAAGGAUAGCUAAUACCGCAUAUUCUGUGAGCAGGAAAGCAGGGGAUCGCAAGACCUUGCGCUGAUUGAGCGGCCGGUGUCAGAUUAGCUAGUUGGUGAGGUAAAGGCUCACCAAGGCGACGAUCUGUAGCGGGUCUGAGAGGAUGAUCCGCCACACUGGAACUGAGACACGGUCCAGACUCCUACGGGAGGCAGCAGUGGGGAAUUUUGGACAAUGGGGGCAACCCUGAUCCAGCCAUGCCGCGUGAGUGAAGAAGGCCUUCGGGUUGUAAAGCUCUUUCGGUCGGGAAGAAAUCGCAUGGGUUAAUACCCUGUGCGGAUGACGGUACCGGCAUAAGAAGCACCGGCUAACUACGUGCCAGCAGCCGCCGUAACAC
rnacentral:rRNA from 1 species